rnacentral:rRNA from 1 species
UGCUAGCUACAGGCUUACACAUGCAAGUCGAGGGGCAGCAUUGGAGUAGCAAUACUUCAGAUGGCGACCGGCGCACGGGUGAGUAACACGUAUCCAACCUGCCGCUUACUCGGGGAUAGCCUUUCGAAAGAAAGAUUAAUACCCGAUGGUAUAAAGAGUUCGCAUGUUCUCUUUAUUAAAGAAUUUCGGUAAGCGAUGGGGAUGCGUUCCAUUAGAUUGUUGGCGGGGUAACGGCCCACCAAGUCUACGAUGGAUAGGGGUUCUGAGAGGAAGGUCCCCCACAUUGGAACUGAGACACGGUCCAAACUCCUACGGGAGACAGCAGUGAGGAAUAUUGGUCAAUGGACGAGAGUCUGAACCAGCCAAGUAGCGUGAAGGAUGACUGCCCUAUGGGUUGUAAACUUCUUUUAUAAGGGAAUAAAGUGAGGGACGUGUCCCUUUUUGUAUGUACCUUAUGAAUAAGGAUCGGCUAACUCCGUGCCAGCAGCCGCGGUAAUACGGAGGAUCCAAGCGUUAUCCGGAUUUAUUGGGUUUAAAGGGAGCGUAGGUUGACAUAUAAGUCAGCUGUGAAAGUUUACGGCUCAACCGUGAAAUUGCAGUUGAUACUGUAUGUCUUGAGUGUACAAGAGGUGGGCGGAAUUCGUGGUGUAGCGGUGAAAUGCUUAGAUAUCACGAAGAACUCCAAUUGCGAAGGCAGCUCACUGGGGUACAACUGACACUGAGGCUCGAAAGUGUGGGUAUCAAACAGGAUUAGAUACCCCUGGUAGUCCACACAGUAAACGAUGAAUACUCGCUGUUUGCGAUAUACAGUAAGCGGCCAAGCGAAAGCAUUAAGUAUUCCACCUGGGGAGUACGCCGGCAACGGUGAAACUCAAAUGAAUUGACGGAAGGCGAAU